rnacentral:lncRNA from 1 species
AAGAACACUAUCAAAGUGCAAAUUACUGUGUAAGCUGUCAAAAGUAUUUAAAAUUCAAUUGGGGGUCUACAAAAACAAAAAAAUGACAAGUGGUCCACUGUCUUAACAAGUUUGAGAACCUUUGGUGUACAUGAACAAUUCUGACGUAACAUAAAAACAUUAUUGAUCUUUCUGCCCCCUUCCCCCUCUAGUUGGAGUGGGACAUUUUGACCUGUACCGCAGCCUCGUGGGGAGAGGCGAAGAAAAUGAGAGAUGAAAAAAAUGUCUAGAAAAGGCUUAAUGGCUUCAUCAGAGGGGUCACAAAAAAAUAUUAGCUAUGAGAUACUUGCUCAUAUCAUUGCAUAUCAAUGUAACUCCCUUCGUGUUAGAGGUAAGGUCGAACUGACCAAAUCUGAAAUAACACAGUUAGAAAAUGUCUUACUCCUUGAUGUGGAUCAAGCAGCAUUUGACAGUAUGCAAGCUAUUGACUUCACCCUAAAAGUGGCUUCCGCAGGAAAGAUAUGCUUUCAGGACCCUCGGAACACACCCGUAACUCAAGAAAUUGAGGAAACUGUGGAAAAAGUGAUAGACAAAGAUUAACAUUUUAAACCCUGUAUUGAUAGUCUAAUCAACACAAAACAACUACUAUUGUUUAUGAUAGUGCAAGUAGUUAUACUGGCACUGUCAGAGAAACUGCUACUGAGGACCACGGAAUGCCAGAUGAGCAAGGAGAUGACAUUUUAAAUCAAGCAGUAGGAGGCGUGAAAGACUCUGGAAAAAAUUCAAAUAUUUAUUCAAAAAGUCAUGAUAGCAAAAAGCAGUCCCAAAUAGAUAUGUUCUUCGAUUUGGCUGCCGAACCCUUAUUAUUGGAUAAAACCAAACAAAAGAAAAAAAAUGAUUAGCUGCUCUUAUAUCAACACUGCAAUGCAGCUAACUCUGAAUUAAAACUGAGAAAAUCUCAAAUAGCCUUAAUAACAGAGCCAUACGCCAGUAACGGCUCAACAAAAAGCCUCGCUCUAAGUGGGUAUACUAUCCAUUAAAACAUGAGUCUAAACUAAGAGCAUACAUUUGAACUUAUAAUCAUUUACAUUCAUGGUUUGUUCUAUAAUUAUCUAUUUACAGAUGUCCAUCGCUCUCAUAUGAGAGAUACCAAGUCAUGCAAAAAGAGGAUGAAGAUUUUUGUAUUCUUAAAUAUAUGAAAUGUACAAACAAUUAAACAAAUUAUUGAUAAUAACUAUAAAACUAAGUAGGACUUAAGAUCAAUUUUUGUUGUAGUUUGUGUU